GACGAACGCUGGCGGCGUGCCUAAUACAUGCAAGUUGAGCGAUGAAGAUUGGUGCUUGCACCAAUUUGAAGAGCAGCGAACGGGUGAGUAACGCGUGGGGAAUCUGCCUUUGAGCGGGGGACAACAUUUGGAAACGAAUGCUAAUACCGCAUAACAACUUUAAACAUAAGUUUUAAGUUUGAAAGAUGCAAUUGCAUCACUCAAAGAUGAUCCCGCGUUGUAUUAGCUAGUUGGUGAGGUAAGGGCUCACCAAGGCGAUGAUACAUAGCCGACCUGAGAGGGUGAUAGGCCCCACUGGGACUGAGACAUGGCCCAAACUCCUAAGGGAGGCAGCAGUAGGGAAACUUCGGCAACGGACGAAAGUCUGAAAGCGAAAAGCCGAGUGAGUGAAGAAGGGUGUCGGAUCGGAAAACACUGUUGGUAGAGAAGAAGGUUGGGGAAAGUGGAAGGCUCAUAAAGUGACGGUAACUACCCAGAAAGGGACGGCUAACUACGUG
rnacentral:rRNA from 1 species